UACGUAGGGUGCAAGCGUUGUCCGGAAUUAUUGGGCGUAAAGAGCUCGUAGGCGGUUCGUCGCGUCGGCUGUGAAAACCUGAGGCUCAACCUCAGGCCUGCAGUCGAUACGGGCGGACUUGAGUACUGCAGGGGAGACUGGAAUUCCUGGUGUAGCGGUGAAAUGCGCAGAUAUCAGGAGGAACACCCGGUGGCGAAGGCGGGUCUCUGGGCAGUAACUGACGCUGGAGGAGCGAAAGCGUGGGGAGCGAACAGG
rnacentral:rRNA from 1 species